GAUGAAGAACGUAGCGAAAUGCGAUAAGUAAUGUGAAUUGCAGAAUUCAGUGAAUCAUCGAGUCUUUGAACGCACAUUGCGCCCCCUGGUGUUCCGGGGGGCAUGCCUGUCCGAGCGUCAUUGCCGCCCUCAAGCACGGCUUGUGUGUUGGGCCCCCGCCCCCCGGCUUCGGGGGGCGGGCCCGAAAGGCAGCGGCGGCACCGCGUCCGGUCCUCGAGCGUAUGGGGCUUCGUCACCCGCUCUGUAGGCCCGGCCGGCGCCCGCCGGCGACCCCAAUCAAUCUUUCCAGGUUGACCUCGGAUCAGGUAGGGAUACCCGCUGAACUUAAGCAUAUCAAUAAGCGGAGGA
rnacentral:misc_RNA from 1 species